CAUUUUGAAAGUGACCUCAUCUGCUGAGUGAGCUGCAGGGCCGGGAUCCAACACCAGGUAUGUCUGAUGCCACUGCCAGCUGUCUUAGUAACGUGCUUUAUGUGACAGAGGAAGGAGUGACAGAAAUCUGAGGCCACUGACAUCACUAAGGAGGUGAAGACAGAAUCUGCUGCUUAGGGUUUUUGGAGAGAAAUCGGAGGCUAGGAUUUAGAGACUCUCCUUGGUUAUUUCAUCUUGAUUUUCCUUCAGCUCAGGCACAAGAUCAAGAACCCAGAAAGGCUCUUAAACUGUUCUUUGUUAACUGGAUUCCAUCGGACUGCUGUUGUUUAGCUUUCAGAAGGACAGAGAAAAGAUUUCCUCUUAAGAUGCUACACUGUUUAAGUGUUAAGCAGGAGACUUUUUAGUAUUCAGAGACAGGGGAGGAAUUAGCAGCCCUG
rnacentral:lncRNA from 10 species